rnacentral:rRNA from 1 species
UCUACUGAAGACUCGGUUGUACCCGAAGUCACUGUGCCAACCGCAAGGGGGCAGGUGCCGAAGGUAUGGGUGGUGAUUGGGAUG